UCUAUGUAGGAAGCACACACGGUUUUGAGACAGUGACAUAUGUGGACACGUUUAUUGAUGCGCGUGUCUCUUCCUCCGAAUCACCGGGAAUGCGCGCUCCCGCGUGCGCUCACCUGAGGCGGUGGUGCGCGUGCGCGCUCAGGUGAUGCAACAGAACCCCCACGAGAGACUCGACACACGGGCUCUGCGUCUCCAGGAGCAGCAGACGGAGCCUCGGACGCACAGCACAGAUCUGCAGAGCUGCUGGAGGACAUGCAGGGGUCCGUCGCGUGGAUGUGGGUGCUCUGGAGGAAUAUCUCUGUCUGCGUUUGUUUGAACUCGUUUAAACACACCGGAGCGGAAUAAUAUCUGACAGUUCGUUCGCGGAGAGACUCGUUCAGGAUCAAAGUUUGAUGACACAAAUCAAGGUGGGUCAAAAGCCAUGACAUCAGAGGAGGAGGGGCCUGCUGUGGUGGGGGCGGAGCCACACGUGGACCGGUGUGCCUCUUCUGGCUGGGAUGGGCUUGUUGAAGAGGCGGAGCCUGCUGAGCAGGAGGAUCAGGAGCAGGAGCAGGAAGUGGCUGAUGAUGUCAGCAGUGAGUUAAGUGCUCUGGUCGUCCCGUACCCAGAACUAGCGCCCAUCGUCUUCUUCUGCCUCAAACAGACCACGUGUCCUCGCAUCUGGUGCAUCCGCAUGGUGUCCAGCCCAUAUCCUUACCAACCACUUUAGGGUUUAUUUUUGUCUGCUUUCAUGUAAGCUUGUCACAGGUUAGCCCCGCCCACAGUCACAUCUCAUUGGUCUGAAUUCCACUGCCUGCUCAUUAAGCACGUUUCCUCUGAUUGGCUGUAAGUGUGUGAAGAUGAAUAGCUGUGAGUGAGUCUCAUGGCGUUUGAUCAGGACACGUGUUGUUCUGCUGAACAUCUUCUCUUUCCCAGGGUGACUUUCAGCACAACGGUGAAUAAUAAUGGAAUGUCGUCUGUGAUGAAAAUAUAAUGACAAAAUCUAAUGAUAAAUCAGCGGCCGUCUGCUUCAGUCUGUGUGUGUUUUUGCUCUGAGGUUGAGAAUAUAAUUACAGUGUGUGUGGGAUAUUACAGCUGCAUAUUUCCACUUGUAAAGCUUAUCUUACUUCUAAUGUCUGUUAUUUCAGCUCAGAGGUGACAGAAUCUGAAAUGUCAGUGUUUGGUCAGCUGUAGUCUUUCACGGUGUUCAGUCUGCACAGUACAGUAUGUGUUUAUUCAAGCCAGGAUCCGCCCACUCAGACAGGAAGAGCCAUAUGAUUGACAUCUGAAGUGAUGUUUGUACAGUAUGUGAUGCUCAGGUCAUAAGACACAGCGACUCAUGAAGCACAGGCUUUGUGAUGAUUAGAGAUUCAUGUAUGUGUGUACAGUCAACACAGAUUUGAUGUGAUAAAACUCAAAUGGUGUCAGUCCAGUGACUAGAUCUUCCUCAGAAGUGUUUUUGGACAUACUUCUAGACAUGAGCACUAUUCAGAUGGUAGUUGUUUCUCGUGGGAACAUUUUUCAAUGUUAUUCAGUGAUUUUAUUCUGUCAAAUCCAGAAUGUCAGUGUUUUCUCCCACCUCCAUUUGAAUUAUACCUACUU